UUCGGUGGAAGAGGUUUGGUCUGUGCUGCUGAGCUCCUUAUUUUUCUGUGUAGAUAAGACGCUGUGUUGUAUCUUGUGUCACGACAUGAACCGCACGGUGUUGGUGGUGGGGCUGGUGGGGGUUGCUGCGGGGUUGCUGGUUGGGGGGUUGAUAGGACACUUCGCAACCCCCGACGCCCCAACCAUCCUCGUUGACCCCGAGGUCACUGACGAUCAGCAACGUAUCCUAGACCUGCACGCGUCGUACGUGGCAGACGGGUGGCAGGCGGGACAGACGGACGGCACAAACCAACAAAUUCUGGACGCCAUCAACACUACGAACCUGGAGGCUCAUU
rnacentral:lncRNA from 1 species